UCCCAAAUGACCUCAGUGCACAGGGAAAG
rnacentral:piRNA from 1 species